rnacentral:miRNA from 1 species
UCGGUAACGAAGAAUACUUGGA